GACGAACGCUGGCGGCGUGUUUAACACAUGCAAGUCGAACGGUAAGGCCCUUCGGGGUACACGAGUGGCGAACGGGUGAGUAACACGUGGGUGAUCUGCCCUGCACUUCGGGAUAAGCCUGGGAAACUUGGUCUAAUACCGGAUAGGACCCUGGGAUGCAUGUCCCGGGGUGGAAAGCUUUUGCGGUGUGGGAUGGGCCCGCGGCCUAUCAGCUUGUUGGUGGGGUGAUGGCCUACCAAGGCGACGACGGGUAGCCGGCCUGAGAGGGUGACCGGCAACACUGGGACUGAGAUACGGCCCAGACUCCUACGGGAGGCAGCAGUGGGGAAUAUUGCACAAUGGGCGCAAGCCUGAUGCAGCGACGCCGCGUGAGGGAUGACGGCCUUCGGGUUGUAAACCUCUUUCAGCACCGACGAAGCGCAAGUGACGGUAGGUGCAGAAGAAGGACCGGCCAACUACGUGCCAGCAGCCGCCGUAA
rnacentral:rRNA from 1 species